rnacentral:lncRNA from 1 species
AGCCUGGCAUGCUGCAGUGCAUGGGGUCACAAAGAGUUGGACAUGACUGAUUGACUGAACAACAACAAAGAAUAUUCCUCUAGAGAGUGAAGACUGCCAUCAUAUCCUGCCCACAUAAUGGGGUGUCACUCCUGGAUCUUGCUUCAGACAUACACCAAAUUCUCCUUAUUGAAGCAAACCCUGUAACCAGUCUGGAUCUCCUUCAGAAGAUGGUCUAUACAUUUAUAUUACAGGUAUUUACACCCUGCAGCUAACUUAUUAUUUAAUAUUUAUUUAUUUUUGAUUGAUUGAUGAUUGGUUUACAAUAUGGGUUUGAUUUGGCAUGUAUCAGCAUGAAUUAAUCAUAGCUGUACAUAUGUCUCCUCCCUCUUGAAUCUCCCUCCUUCAAUUCACUUUUUUUUUUUACUCAAUAAUGUAUCUUGAAGUAAUUAUGUAACAUUACUUAUAGAGCUACUUCAUAUUUUAUGAAGUUGAAGAUAUAGUAUUCCACUGUAUGACAAAACUAUAGCUAUUAAAUAGCUAUAACUAUUUAAUUCAGUUCAGUUCAGUCAUUCAGUCAUGUCUGACUCUUUGCGACCCCA